rnacentral:pre_miRNA from 1 species
UCGCGGGUACCAGCCGGCAAUACGGCUAUCAGCCGGGCGUGUCUGUAGUAUAGUAUACUACAGACACGCCCGGCUGAUAGCCGUAUUGCCGGCUGGUACCCGCGAUGUA